rnacentral:rRNA from 1 species
GACGAACGCUGGCGGCGUGCUUAACACAUGCAAGUCGAACGGUAAGGCCCUUCGGGGUACACGAGUGGCGAACGGGUGAGUAACACGUGGGUGACCUGCCCUGCACUUCGGGAUAAGCCUGGGAAACUGGGUCUAAUACCGGAUAGGACCACUGCCGGCAGGGGUGGUGGUGGAAAGGUUUUGCGGUGUGGGAUGGGCCCGCGGCCUAUCAGCUUGUUGGUGGGGGGAUGGCCUACCAAGGCGACGGACGGGUAGCCGGCCUGAGAGGGUGACCGGCCACACUGGGACUGAGAUACGGCCCAGACUCCUACGGGAGGCAGCAGUGGGGAAUAUUGCACAAUGGGCGCAAGCCUGAUGCAGCGACGCCGCGUGAGGGAUGACGGCCUUCGGGUUGUAAACCUCUUUCAGCACCGACGAAGCGCAAGUGACGGUAGGUGCAGAAGAAGGACCGGCCAACUACGUGCCAGCCGCCGCCGUAA